GCUGUGGGUUCUGAUUAAUUUUGUACUAUGUGUUCAAAACGGAUGUUGAUUAAAGAAGUUAAAAAUUGGAAGUCGAUUAGAGAAACCAAAAAAUGGACGUCGAUUAAAUAGGCAUAAAAUUGGCCGUCGAUUUGGAACGAUAUUUUAUUGUGACGUCAGAUUUGGACGUCGAUUUGAGAAACGGACGUCGAUUAGAGACCGGACGUCGAUCUGAGUCUUACAUAUAUAUAUAUAUAUAUAUA
rnacentral:lncRNA from 1 species